AUGCUUUGAGUGGGUACUGUGCAUGUGACGUGGCGGAGGACAUGGGCGGCUAGCUGUGCCCACUCACUUGCUCAGCAGCUCGCCCCACAACCAGGCUGACAGGGCCCCUUUGUAAAUUUAUGCCACAGAUAAAUUCUUCCUUAUUGGGGGCCCCUGGGGUUGAACUUAAAUGAUUGAAGCCACAAAUAUUAAUUCUCAGAUACCAAGGCCUUCUGAUGUGUCAUAAAGAAUUCCCUCCAAAGUGAGAGAGGGUCUCUGUCAAUCUUAUGGAGCAUGGGAAGGGGAAGACCACCUGACAGUAGGGCAGGGAGAGGGGCUGCCAGGUAAGCUUGAGGGGCCCUUGAUGCAGCCUGGCACCCCCUAGCCUGCCCUGUGCCUACAGCCUCGUGUGCAUCACCGGGGCCAGUGGGGAGGAGGUGGCCGGCGCCACAGCGGUGGAGGUGCCGGGAAGAGGACGUGGUGUCUCAGAACACGACUUUGCCUACCAGGAUCCGAAGGUCCAUUCCAUCUUCCCGGCCCGCGGCCCCAGAGCUGGGGGCACCCGUCUCACCCUGAAUGGCUCCAAGCUCCUGACUGGGCGGCUGGAGGACAUCCGAGUGGUGGUUGGAGACCAGCCUUGUCACUUGCUGCCGGAGCAGCAGUCAGAACAACUGCGGUGUGAGACCAGCCCACGCCCCACGCCUGCCACGCUCCCUGUGGCUGUGUGGUUUGGGGCCACGGAGCGGAGGCUUCAACGCGGACAGUUCAAGUAUACCUUGGACCCCAACAUCACCUCUGCUGGCCCCACCAAGAGCUUCCUCAGUGGAGGACGUGAGAUAUGCGUCCGUGGCCAGAAUCUGGACGUGGUACAGACGCCAAGAAUCCGGGUGACCGUGGUCUCGAGAAUGCUGCAGCCCAGCCAGGGGCUUGGACGGAGGCGUCGCGUGGUCCCGGAGACGGCAUGUUCCCUUGGACCCUCCUGCAGUAGCCAGCAAUUUGAGGAGCCGUGCCAUGUCAACUCCUCCCAGCUCAUCACGUGCCGCACA
rnacentral:lncRNA from 1 species